AUCAUGGCUCAGGAUGAACGCUAGCGGCAGGCUUAACACAUGCAAGUCGAGGGGCAGCGCGAUGUAGCAAUACAUUGGCGGCGACCGGCGGAAGGGUGCGUAACGCGUGAGCAACAUGCCCGUAUGAGGGGGAUAGUCAUUGGAAACGAUGCGUAAUACCCCGUAACAACAAGGAUCGCAUGGUCCAUGUUUGAAAGAUUUAUCGCAUACGGAUUGGCUCGCGUGACAUUAGCUAGUUGGCGGGUAACGGCCCACCAAGGCGACGAUGUCUAGGGGAACUGAGAGGUUGGUCCCCCACACUGGAACUGAGACACGGUCCAGACUCCUACGGGAGGCAGCAGUGAGGAAUAUUGGUCAAUGGGCGGAAGCCUGAACCAGCCAUGCCGCGUGGAAAGGAAUAAGGCCCUAUGGGUCGUAAACUUCUUUUGACGGGGAGCAAUAAGGGCGUCGCGCACGUCCGAUGAGAGUACUCGUCGAAUAAGCAUCGGCUAACUCCGUGCCAGCCGCCGC
rnacentral:rRNA from 1 species